AAGUCGUAACAAGGUUUCCGUAGGUGAACCUGCGGAAGGAUCAUUCCCCUUAAAAGCAAAAAUAUACUCUAUUGGUGAAAAUAUUCUGUGGAUGAUUAAAUUCAUUUUUAAUCUUCUCUCAAUUCUUUCUCUUUUUUUUUUAAACAAAACUAUUAAAUUAAUAAUGUUUCUUAAUCGAAGCAUUGUUGAGUUCUUUCUUAAGCCUUUAUUGGCUUCUGAAGGGAUUUUAAUUUUAACCAAAACUUUUAUUAUAAAAUUAAAAAACAAUAACAAAAGAACAACUCUUAACAAUGGAUAUCUCGGCUCUUGC
rnacentral:misc_RNA from 1 species